AGACCGGUUGAUCCUGCCGGAGGGAACCCCUAUCGGGCUCGCACUAAGCCAUGCGAGUCUGCUGGGGGCCCCUGCCCCUGGCGGCGCACGGCUCCGUAAUACACGGUCAACCUGUCCUGGGGACCGGGAUAACCUCGGGAAACUGAGGCUAAUACCGGAUAGGGGUGGAUUCCUGGAAUGGGUCCACCCCUAAAGUAGGCGGGGGGACGGCCCCGCUGAGGCCCCAGGGUGGGACCGUGGCCUAUCAGGUAGUAGGUGGGGUAACGGCCCACCUAGCCUAAGACGGGUACGGGCUCUGAGAGGAGGAGCCCGGAGAUGGGCACUGAGACAAGGGCCCAGGCCCUACGGGGCGCAGCAGGCGGGAAACUUCCCCAAUGCGCGCAAGCGUGAGGGAGUGAGCCCGAGUGCCGCCCGCUGAGGGCGGCUGUUCCCCUGUGUAAAAAGCAGGGGGUAGGAAGGGGAGGGUAAGGCUGGUGCCAGCCGCCGCGGUAAAACCAGCUCCCCGAGGGGUUCCCACGCAUACUGGGCCUAAAGCGUCCGUAGCCGGCCCCGUAAGUCCUCGGUUAAAUCCGCCUGAAGACAGGCGGACCGCCGAGGAUACUGCGGGGCUAGGGAGCGGGAGGGGCCGAGGGUAUUCCGGGGGGAGCGGUAAAAUGCGUAGAUCCCCGGAGGACCACCAGUGGCGAAGGCGCUCGGCUGGAACGCGUCCGACGGUGAGGGACGAAAGCUGGGGGAGCAAACCGGAUUAGAUACCCGGGUAGUCCCAGCCGUAAACGAUGCCGGCUAGGUGCCGGCUGAGGUUUCGGCCUCAGCCGGUGUCGAAGCGAAGGCAUUAAGCCGGCCGCCUGAGGAGUACAGCCGCAAGGCCGAAACUUAAAGGAAUUGACGGGGGGGCACCACAAGGGGUGAAGGCCUGCGGCUCAAUUGGACUCAACGCCGGGAAUCUUACCGGGGGCGACAGCAGGAUGAAGGUCAGGCUGAAGACCUUACCUGACGCGCUGAGGGGUGGUGCAUGGCCGUCGCCAGCUCGUGCCGU
rnacentral:rRNA from 1 species